rnacentral:rRNA from 1 species
UACGGAGGAUGCGAGCGUUAUCCGGAUUUAUUGGGUUUAAAGGGUGCGUAGGCGGGCCUUUAAGUCAGCGGUAAAAAUUCGGGGCUCAACCCCGUCCGGCCGUUGAAACUGGGGGCCUUGAGUGGGCGAGAAGAAGGCGGAAUGCGUGGUGUAGCGGUGAAAUGCAUAGAUAUCACGCAGAACCCCGAUUGCGGAGGCAGCCUUCCGGCGCCCUACUGACGCUGAGGCACGAAAGUGCGGGGAUCGAACAGG